GUGGGACAGAUGAUUAGGGUGAAGUCGUAACAAGGUAGCCGUAGGAGAACCUGCGGCUGGAUCACCUCCUUU
rnacentral:rRNA from 2 species